rnacentral:lncRNA from 1 species
AAGGAGAAACUGCAGUAGAAGAAGGUUGAGUAACUAGCCCAUCACUCAGCUAGAACUGGCCACCAGCAUGGAUCCCAGAUAGCCCUACUCCAGAGUUGCCCAUGCUAUUAGCCGUGACGCCAUGCUGGCUGUCCACACCCAUGCCUUUUUCCUGCCUUAAUCUUGCAAUGAUUCAUAAGGAAAGGCCAUAUGAGGACACAGCUAGAAGGCAGCCAUCUGCAAGCCAGGACAAGAGUACUCACCAGGAACCAAAUUGGCAGCACCUUGAUCUUGGACUUCUCAGCCCCCAGAACUGUGAG